AAUCUUUUUUUAGAGUUCCCUCCUUGGUGAUGCUUUCUCCUGUGAACCUGGGCUCUUCUGGUACAGGUUGAACAGCUCCAGUUCUUUCAGCCUGUCCUCAUAGAAGAGGUGCUCCAUCCCUUGGAUCGUCCCCUCCUCUGGAUGCACUCCAACAGGUCCAUGUCUCUCCUGUACUGAGGACUUCACAUGUGAAUGUAGUACUCCAGGAGAACUGUAUCAGUUUUGUUUGCUCAAGAAUAUGAAAAUGCAACUGUGACUUGUCAGGACCUUUUCCUUAUGUCUGGUAAAAGGCGGGAGCCUCAGCAGGAGAUGGAAGGAAUGUGAAAACUGGAAUUCCCCUCCAGAAAAGGGAGGAAGCCAUGCUCAGGAGGAUUCUUGGGCUUAUCACUGAUUAUGCUAACAACAAAACUAAACCCAGAAAAAUGGGUACUUGUGGACAGUAGGUGCGUGUUUGCUUGGUUUAGAGUUGGAGAUAUCUUAAUGUCUUAUUUAUAGCUUACCUUCAUCUUGACGUGACUAUUGUAUUAAAAAAAAAAAAAAAGAAAGCAAGAUCAGAGGAGAGAUGUGGACAGCAGUGAAUUUGGAUUUCAGGAGAACUAGCAUCUGUGGCCUGUGUAUAUACUAAAUCUGACAUUCUGCCAUCACUAUGAGAGGGAUAUCAGCAAGAGAGAAAGGCUGGAGUGGGGAAAUAAAUGUGCAUAACCUCACACUGCCAGUCCUCCCAUGCAACUGGAUGCGUUAAGUUUCCUUGUGAAUGGAAUGAAAAUGGCGACUCGCAUAAUGCACUAAGGAUCUCAAGCUCACAUCAUUGGCAGAUGUUAACUGGGCAGAGGCACAAGGUAACAGUCUUUAUCCUGUAUCAGUGAACUCAGUAGGAGUAUUUAAAUUUAGUUUGAUGAAUACUGAUUUCUAGAGGGAGGGCUGCCAGGAUCCUACUAGCCAAAAUCUGUUCUGACUUCCAUUGCUACAUAUGCAGAGGUACUGGAGAAGAACAAAGGAGUCCACUCCUGCUCCAGUUGUUGUAGACAUUUAAGGAUUGUCACUGAACCUAUAUUACAGGAAAAAGGAGGAAAAUAGUGUUGUUUGCCACUUCAAACAUGUUCCACAAAAAUCAUUCUAACGAGGCAGGUUAUAAUUUUAUUUUCAAUUGUAGUGACAUGAAUCUUUUAAGCUUCAGUUCUUUAAGUAUUUAUAGCUUCAGAGCUUUCCAUUCUGUAUAGAUAUGCUCACCUUUGUACAAGAUGAAGAUUAAAUGAGUUGUUUAUGUCACUAAAACCUGAACAUGUUGUCCCUGACAGGUGAAAAAAUGUUCUCUCUUACAUAUUGGCAAACUGUACGCUCACUGCCUUUUUGGUGUAAAUUAUCUGUGGUUUACUUUUUUUUUAGUGGGUCGUCUUGAUAUUCCUGGCUAACAUCUUUGCAGCUUUAUUAGUACAUACACAACUCAAUAUUGCCUUGCACAAAGUGUUUUCUAUGGCUUGUAUACAAGAUUUUGUUUUUCUUAAUAUACUACAAACAUUGGCAAUCGAUGUGAUAUGUAUCAGAUCUUUACAUUUGAACUGUAAUUAGAUUACAGAAGGAAAUAUUUGUACUGGUUGCUGUUCUCCUGUUUUGAAAUUCAAGGAAUAUUGUUUUAAACACUGCUACAUUUAUUUUAAGAACUUCUUAAAAGACUUUGUAUGGAUAAGUCAAACUUUAGAUCUGUUGAACAGUGUUAUUCUGAGAAUUAUCCAUUUAUGCCUGGGGGAGUUCUUGCCUGUGAUGGAAAUGUUUAUGAAAAGUAUCUGUGAAUGGAAAAUCACUGUUGAAUCCUAAGGCCAAGCAGUGAAGAUUGCCAUAUUAGUUCAAGUUCAUAACCAUCAGAAACAAGGAACUUAGCCUUGCAUUUUUCUUGAUAAAUAUAUAUAUACAUAUAUGAGUUACAGACCAAUGAAAUUAAAGAUAAUUGUUU
ensembl:lncRNA